GCGUAAUUGGUGUAGUGGUAACAUUAAUCGUUGCCAUCAACGCAAUGAUUUCGAUUAGCCCUGGGUUCGAUUCCCAGAUUACGCA
rnacentral:tRNA from 1 species